GGACUACACGGGUAUCUAAUCCUGUUUGCUCCCCACGCUCUCGCGCCUCAGCGUCAGUAUCUGUCCAGGUAGCCGCCUUCGCCACUGGUGUUCCUUCCGAUCUCUACGCAUUUCACCGCUACACCGGAAAUUCCACUACCCUCUACAGUACUCCAGUAACUCAGUAUAAGAUGCAGUUCCCAGGUUAAGCCCGGGGAUUUCACAUCUCACUUAAAUUACCGCCUACGCGCCCUUUACGCCCAGUAACUCCGAUUAACGCUCGCACCCUCUGUAUUACCGCGGCUGCUGGCAC
rnacentral:rRNA from 1 species